CCUACGGGAGGCAGCAGUGAGGAAUAUUGGUCAAUGGGCGGAAGCCUGAACCAGCCAAGUAGCGUGCAUGAUGACGGCCCUACGGGUUGUAAACUGCUUUUAUACGGGAAUAACGCGCCUUACGUGUAGGGCUUUGCAUGUACCGUAUGAAUAAGGAAUGGCUAAUUCCGUGCCAGCAGCCGCGGUAAUACGGAGGGUCCGGGCGUUAUCCGGAUUUAUUGGGUUGAAAGGGAGCGUAGGCGGCAUGUCAAGCGUGCUGUGAAAUGUCCGGGCUCAACCCGGGCAUUGCAGCGCGAACUGGCGUGCGUGAGUCCACGGAAGGCAGGCGGAAUUCGUGGUGUAGCGGUGAAAUGCUUAGAUAUGACGAAGAACCCCGAUUGCGAAGGCAGCUUGCUGCAGCGGAACUGACGCUGAUGCUCGAAAGCGCGGGUAUCGAACAGGAUUAGAUACCCGAGUAGUC
rnacentral:rRNA from 1 species